GUUGUCGUCAGCUCGUGUCGUGAGAUGUUGGGUUAAGUCCCGCAACGAGCGCAACCCUUAAGCUUAGUUGCCAUCAUUAAGUUGGGCACUCUAAGUUGACUGCCGGUGACAAACCGGAGGAAGGUGGGGAUGACGUCAAAUCAUCAUGCCCCUUAUGAUUUGGGCUACACACGUGCUACAAUGGACAAUACAAAGGGCAGCGAAACCGCGAGGUCAAGCAAAUCCCAUAAAGUUGUUCUCAGUUCGGAUUGUAGUCUGCAACUCGACUACAUGAAGCUGGAAUCGCUAGUAAUCGUAGAUCAGCAUGCUACGGUGAAUACGUUCCCGGGUCUUGUACACACCGCCCGUCACACCACGAGAGUUUGUAACACCCGAAGCCGGUGGAGUAACCUUUUAGGAGCUAGCCGUCGAAGGUGGGACAAAUGAUUGGGGUGAAGUCGUAACAAGGUAGCCGUAUCGGAAGGUGC
rnacentral:rRNA from 1 species